CUUUUACAAUGAAGAGUUUGAUCCUGGCUCAGGAUGAACGCUAGCUACAGGCUUAACACAUGCAAGUCGAGGGGCAUCAGGAAGAAAGCUUGCUUUCUUUGCUGGCGACCGGCGCACGGGUGAGUAACACGUAUCCAACCUGCCCUUUACUCGGGGAUAGCCUUUCGAAAGAAAGAUUAAUACCCGAUAGCAUAAUGAUUCCGCAUGGUUUCAUUAUUAAAGGAUUCCGGUAAAGGAUGGGGAUGCGUUCCAUUAGGUUGUUGGUGAGGUAACGGCCCACCAAGCCUUCGAUGGAUAGGGGUUCUGAGAGGAAGGUCCCCCACAUUGGAACUGAGACACGGUCCAAACUCCUACGGGAGGCAGCAGUGAGGAAUAUUGGUCAAUGGGCGCUAGCCUGAACCAGCCAAGUAGCGUGAAGGAUGAAGGCUCUAUGGGUCGUAAACUUCUUUUAU
rnacentral:rRNA from 1 species